UACUAUAGCAAAGAGGAUACACCUGUUCCCAUUCCGAACACAGAAGUUAAGCUCUUUAGCGCCGAUGGUACUUGGUGGGAAGCUGCCUGGGAGAGUAGGACGUA
rnacentral:rRNA from 1 species